UAGUUUUAAGUGUAUACGCACGUUAAAUUUUGAAUUUAAAAGAAAUAAAUUGUUUUUAUUAAAACUAA
rnacentral:tRNA from 2 species